UACGUAGGGUGCGAGCGUUGUCCGGAAUUAUUGGGCGUAAAGGGCUCGUAGGCGGUUUGUCGCGUCGGGAGUGAAAUCCACUGGCUUAACAGGUGGUUUGCUUUCGAUACGGGCAGACUGGAGGUAUGCAGGGGAGAACGGAAUUCCUGGUGUAGCGGUGAAAUGCGCAGAUAUCAGGAGGAACACCGGUGGCGAAGGCGGUUCUCUGGGCAUGUCCUGACGCUGAGGAGCGAAAGUGUGGGGAGCGAACAGG
rnacentral:rRNA from 1 species